GCCAAAGGUAGUGGAGGGCUCAGAGGCCAGCCCUCCAUUUCUCCUGGUUAGCACUACUCUCAGCCUCCAGCCUCUUCUCAUUCCUCACCACAGUGCUCAGGAAUUGAAACCCCCAAAGCAAGAGGAACCACGUGACCAAGAAACGUGUUUCCUAAGGAAAAAACAGACCUCCAUGCUGAGAAGCCCUCACAGAAUCACAGGAUGCUGAAGCAAUGUGGUGAUUGCCAGAGCGAUUGGUGAGACAUGCUGAGCUGGGACAAAGAAUGAUGCUGACAGUGAUCUUGCUGAGUAAUAACAAGGAAGCUGUACUGGUCAUAUGUUCCUAACCCACCUUUGCUACAUCCAUCUGUGUGGUCACAGCCAGGAGUACUUGUGACCUCUCAUACUCAGCUGUCAGGAUUUCCUUGGUCUGAGAGUAAAAAGUUUUUCAAAUUAGUGAUUACACUGCUGUGUAUCAGACUACCCAUAUGUUUUACUUGAAAUAGCACCAAUGCUGGAUGUGUUUCUGUGGACUCUCAGAUUUGGACAAAUAUCUCUAAGACUGUAGUGCAAAGAAUUAAGAUGGGAGUGCCUAUAUCUCAGACUUGACAAGCUGCCUUAUUUUUAGAUCUCAUGGGACAGAGAACACAGAGACUGUGGAACCUGCCUUCAAAAAAAUCAAUAAAAUAGAGAAGUUGUUAUAAUUACCCUCCCCUUUUCUUUAAUGUGACUAGUUAUUCCUACUCAAUCAGAGACUGGUCUGGAAAUCCAAUAUGGACAAAAGGAAAUGACCGUGGGCGUUUGGAGGACUGAUUCUGGACAUUUUCAGAGACAUAUUUGAAAAUUGGCAGCUGCCUUGAAUGAGGUUGUGUUUGCUGUGGACAAAAAUGGAACAGGUUCUGGGGUUAUAGUAAAUGUAACAUCCUGCAUUACCCCACCUGAUCUUUUACUAAUUGGGAAUGUUACCUUUGUUAUGGGCUCUGAUAAGGAGUUCAAUGUUUCUUGUUUUAAUUGGUUUUUGUCCAAUUGUGUUUCUGUACUGUGUAAUGGUCAAUCUGUAAUGGAAGUACAACAAUCAGCUUUUAUUAUGAUUCCAGUAAAUUUGUCUGAACCCAGGUAUUCUGAAAAAGGCUUAAAAAUAUUGGAAGCAUUGCAUCACACUCUGGCAAGGAGCAAACGUAUCCUUGGGCAGAUAAUUGCUGGUGUUGUUGCUCUCAUAACUUUUAUAGUCAGUGCUACCACUUCUGCAUGCAGUAGAGCCUUGGACAACAGUUAUAUAGAUUGCAUUUGUGGGUGACUGCUUUUCAUUUGGCCUUGGUGUGCAUAAUUAUUCUAUUGUAUCUGACUUUCUUCUUUCUCCUUCUGCUCUGGUGAAUUCUGUGAAACUAGAUGUUCCUUGAUGUAAUGAUUCUUAAACAAUUAAAAAUUGAGGAAUGGGGCACAGCACAACACAGUCCUAAUGGCCCAAGUGCAUGCUGUGUGUUCUCAUCUUGGAAACAA